AGCUGAUUGUGUUGGUUUGCGAAGACCUUCAGCGUGAGGUGUUGGAUAAAAUUCCGGGUAGCCAUGCCGUGCGGGUCGGCGAUCUGCUCC
rnacentral:tRNA from 1 species